CAGUGAGGCCUUCAUCAGAGCCUGCAUCAAUGGAGCCUACUAUGCCACCUCACCCAAAGUCAUUUUUUGAGGUAUGCAACUUGCUGAGAUAUCUUUCUUCUGAGAUUUUUGGGGGUGGGGGUUGUUGUGGUGGGGGGGGGGGGUGAGGCUCACCUGUACUAUAAUAACCCAGGUCCAGAUUUUUGUGGAUGCAUCAACCUAGAAUCAAAUCUAGAACUUCUGGUUGCUAAGCCGGACAGUUUGACCACCAGGGCAAACCUUGAACAUAUCAUAUUUUGUUAUUCUUAUGUAGAAGCACAUCUGCAUCAUUGCUGCAUCUGCACUUUGAAGUAUCUUAGUUUAUUACAGUUUCGUCUUUUGGUCUUGAAACAGGUCAUCGAAUGUAAUAUAAUAAGAGCUUAGAGUUUGCUAAAAGGCCAUGAUCAUUGAUUUCUAUCAAGUGGAAACUACUUAGCAGCACAAAAAUAAACUAAUGGCAUUUCAUAUGAAAAUAUUGUGCUUCCUAAUCUAAUAGGUAACUAUUACUGUAAAAAUAUUAUGUUGCUAUCGUUUAUCUGAUUAUGGAUCCACUUAAAUCAAAGCUAAUGAGGAAAACCAUAAUGAACUUGAACCUGAUUAUCUUAUCCGGUUUGAGUGCUGACCUUAUUUGGAUCCAACCACAAUAAGACCUAUCAAAACUCAUAUUGAUGAGCAAGCAUGCAAUGCUGAUGCCCAAUGUAUAUUAUUGUUGAAAGCUCAUGCUUGAUGAAUAAGCCACCACCUCAAGGGUUUUGUGGACAUAACUCAAGCAGGGACUAUAAAAUCUACUGAUGUAAAGGUGAAAAUACAUAUCCAUGUGCACACUCAAUUCCAUGUGCAUUAAAAUCAUUAGCACAUGCACAACAUAUACCAAAUUUCCUAUAGCUGAUUGAUGCUCUGACUUGUUGGGUUUUAACGUCUCGAAUUUGACUUACAAUAGCAAAACUCAAAGCAGCGAAGCUCAAGAUGGAGAAGCCAACGGUGUAGGCCCACGGGAGCGCGGCCCACAGAUGCAUGGCGUGCAGGCCUGCAGGCUCCACCGUGCAGUCCAGCGCACGCAGUGCGCGGUCCAGGUGUGAGGUGCUGUCCAUUUGGCCUCACGCGGUCCACGCAUGGGUGUGCAGUCCAUUUAAGCGGUCCAUCGUGCGGAAUGUGCGAUUUGACGGCUGAGACGGCGAGUAGGUGCUGUUUUGUGCGAUCGAAUGGCCGGGGAGUGAUGCAGGCAUGAUCAGGUGGUCGGAAGGGUUCUUGAGUAUUAGAAUUCUGGAUUCGAUUUGGAUUCUAUUUGGAUCCUAUAAAAGGAGGCA
rnacentral:lncRNA from 1 species